CCAGCACCCCGAGUGGUCGGGACGAUUAUUGGGCCUAAAGCAUCCGUAGCCGGUAUUACAAGUCCUCCGUUAAAUCCAACUGCUUAACAGAUGGGCCGCGGAGGAUACUAUAAGACUAGGAGGCAGGAGAGGCAAGCGGUACUCAGUGGGUAGGGGUAAAAUCCGUUGAUCCAUUGAAGACCACCAGUGGCGAAGGCGGCUUGCCAGAAUGCGCUCGACGGUGAGGGAUGAAAGCUGGGGGAGCAAACCGGAUUAGAUACCCGGGUAGUCCCAGCUGUAAACGAUGCAGACUCGGUGAUGGACUAGCUUUAUGCUAGUCCAGUGCCGCAGGGAAGCCGUUAAGUCUGCCGCCUGGGUAGUACGGUCGCAAGACUG
rnacentral:rRNA from 1 species